ACUCCUGGGCUCAAGCCAUCUGCCUGCCUCAACUCCCAAAGUGCUAGCAUUCUAAGCAUGAGCCUCUGCUCCUGGCCUCCCAUCUUCUCUGUUAGCACUUCACAUUCUUAGCUCCUCCUUGAUAUUUUCUCUAGGGUUCUUGCUAUGGUCUGAAUGUUUGUAUCCUCCCAAAAUUCAUAUGUUGAAAUCCUGACCCCCAAGGUGAUGAUAAUGGAGAGUGGGACAUUUGGAAGAUGACUAGGUGAUGAGGGCAGAUCUCUCGUGAAUGGGACUAGUGCUCUUAAAAAAGAGGCCCCUGAGAGAUCCUGUACCUCUUCUACCAUCUGAAGACAUAGCAAGAAGGCACUGUCUUCUUGAAAGCGGUCCCUUACCAGAUGCCAAAUAUGCUGGCACCUUGAUGGUGUACUCCCCAGCCUCCAGAACUGUGAAAAAUUAAUUUCUGUUAUUUAUAAGCUACCCAGUCUACAGUAUUCCAUUAUAGCAGCUUGAAUGGACCAAGUCAAUCCCUUUCUGGUGAGUAACACCAUUCUCUUUAGGUAGCGGCAAUUACUUAGACUUCUAUUAUGAUUUUUUUCCUUUAUUAAAGCCUAUACAUACUGUUGGCCAUUUUCUCUGUUAUCAUGUUGAAAAAUAAGGCAUACACUGAUCAAAGGUAUUCGUUACUUAGGUUAUUUUAAUUUUUUAAUCGUUUGCUCUUAUUUGAAUUUUAACAAAGGGUUUCUGGAGUCAAAGCUUUAACCAAGAAAAGACAAAUAUUUAAUGAAAUUUAAUGAAAUUUCAGAUGGGUUGGAGAAUGUAUUGAUAUUUGGAAACAGGCUAACAUUAAGGACCCAUAAGUUUAUCCCACAGACUGUCAAAUAGUUCUAGUUGAACAUAUAGUUCUUUUUUGACAACAAUAAAGGGAUGAAAUGAUACUUGUGUCUUUUAAUACAAAUGGGCAUUUGAAAAUUCCUUUUCACAAGGUUUUCUGUGCUUCAUUGUUGCCUCUAGAAGUUGAAAGUGGGGGUGGUUUUCUUGAAGAGAUUGGAGCAAAAAGGAACAAACUGGUAGCAGGUUUGCAAGCCUUCUCUCCUUAGCUAUUUCUCUGAGAGUCUAAAGAUCCUCAAGGGAGAGGCACCAAAUGCAGGUCAUCAAUUCCAUUCAGGUCCAUAGUCUGAGCUCCUAAAAUGGCAUAAUAUGCAGUCUGAAAAAGAGAGGCAGUCAUCUAAUUCAUUUUGUUCUCAGAGUAGAGAAGUGUAGUACAUGAUUACAGAUUGAGCCUUUAGGAGAUCAAUAAAAAUAGCUCUGACAGCCAUUUCCAAUAAAAAUUUUUUUUUUUCACUGAGCAGAGUAGCCAAUCAAUGAAGACAUUUUUGGAGUUCUUGUUUGGUAGAAUGUUUGGAGAUAUUAAGUCUCCAAAGGCAGUCAUGGGAGAAAGGAACGUAUGAUUGAUGCAGGACAAAAACGAGAUUCCUUAUUUUAAGAGAGUGUUUUAUGACCUUUAAGUUUCAAAAUAAGAUUUUCUUUUAAAAUCUGUCUCUAAAUAAGAGUUGACUGAGCAAUAGUUCUCCCACUUUCCACUCUUAUGCUGGUAUCAUUAUUUUCACUGAAAGUGCCAUUUAGUAUAAAAGGGUUGAAAUUGUAAUAACUGUGGUCUGAGAGUCAUUCAUGUUACCAUAAGGAUUUUUCCCCACUCUCAGUACCAAGUAGUUAUUUCUUUGCUCUGAUAAGGCAAGAAUUAGGGAGUAGAGAAAUUGUAGAAGGUUUGUGUGAAUUGAUUUUUAUUCUAACUAAUUACUGUAGAAAUUAAGAAUAGCAGUGUAUUCACUUUACACCCUUUUCCUCUGUAUAUUUCUUCCCUUUAAAAGACAAAAUUUAAAAUUCUUAGUACUGUAUUUUAUUAGCAACCAGGCAUUUCUUCUGGUAGAACCACAAUAAAGCCUUUUCCCUCGUAUUCAUCUGAACGUGAUUUCUUUCUGCAGCUGGAUAAGUACAUUGAUUUUAUGUUUCAUGGAGAUUAGAGGUUUAACAAAAUGAUAAUAGGGAUUACUGAUUCUAAUUUUUCCUACAUUGUUAUUGGAUUUAGCUGUCUUUUUAACCCACACAGAGUCUUUAAAGAUGUUUUCUCUUUGCUCUAGACAACGUUAAAUAAAAUGUAUCAUCAUAAUGACAAAUCAGUCAUGUUAAAUAAACAAAAUUAGGGUUGUAAAUGUUUACGAAAAGACUUAAGCCAGCUUUUAAAUACCUAUACAAUCUUCUUCAUUCUGGCUUGUCUUUGCUAUUUUACUGAAUUUUUCUUUCUUUCUGAAAUCUUUUUUGUUGUUUUUUUGAAGAGGAAGUAUGUUCACAUGGAUUAAAAACUCAAAAGAAUAUAAAAAUAUGUGUUAAGGAGUCUCAUUUCCACUCCUGUUCCCACUUUUCUUCUUCUUUCUCUACUCCUUCCAUUCUACCCUCCAGGUAAUAACUUUUAUUGGUUUAUUGUAAACUCUUCCAAUUGUUUCGUGUAAAUACACCUAUUUAUUUUCCUUACCCCCGUUUUUUUCCCCCAAAAGUUUAUUUAAUAUGUAAAUUGUUCUAAACCUUUCUAAUUGUUAUAUCUUCUAAUUAUUUUCUCUCAUCCCUGAAACUGUAAACAUCUCUCAAAUUUUUUGGCUUUUUCAGUCAGACCCGUCUCUGAGUGCUGGUUUUGCUACUUACUAAGUGUGUGACCUUGGAUUAAACUUGAGGGUCUUAGUUACUUUACCUGUAAAAAUGGAAUUAUCAGUAUCUAUGGCAUAGGGUUGUUAUGAGGACUAAAUGAGGUAACUUACAGCUAGUAGCCAAUGUGGGUGAUCAAUAUAUCUCAGUUUCUCUUUCCUUUCCUCUGGCUUUUUCUCUCUUUCUCAUAGUGAAAGCAACCCUCUCCAUCAUCCCUUCCUUGAAUCAAAGCUAUAGUAACAUCACAGAUAGUCUCCUUGUCUGUAGUAUAGCUCCUGUACAUCUGUUCUUCACAGUGCAAGUAGAGUGGUCUUUCUGUGGCUUGUAUCACCUGCACAGAGGGGAUCCUUCAAAGGGCAUAUUAUACUCUUCAUGAUACUCUUCUUAUCUGUGCAGUUUCAUUGUAUAUGCUUUCCUCCUUGUCCAGAAGUCCCAUUCCCAGCUUUUGACAAGCUCUUAUGGAUUGAUUUGUGGCCCCCCACCCCCACUGUCACCCCACUCAAAGAUGUUGAAGUUCAAACUCCUAGUACUUGUGAAUGUGACCUUAUUUGGAAAUAGGGUCUUUGCAGGUGAUCAGGUUAAGACGAAAUUAUUAGGGUGGGCUCUAAUCCAACAUGACUGUGCCCUUAUCAAAAAAAAAAAGAAAUUCAGACACAGACCACACACACACACACACGGUGAAUGCCAUUUGAAGAUUGGAGUUAUGCUGCCAUAAGCCAAGGAACUACCAGAAACUAGGAGGGAGGCCUGGAACAGGCUCUACUCUAGCUACCUUCAGAGGGAGCAGAGCCCAGCACGCACCUUGAUGUUGGACUUCUAACCUCCACAACGGUUAGACAGUAAAUUUCUGUUGUUUAAGCUUCCCAGUUUGUGGUGUGUUGUUAGGACAGCCACAGGAAACUGAUAUGCAAGCCUUUUAAAAUUUCGUCUCAAAGCUACCUUCUCUAUAAAGCCUUCCUCUCACAUAAGGGGUUCCUGCCUCUAUGUUUUUUUUUCUUCCUCUAUUAGAUUAUCUUGCUUUAUAAAAAACAUUUAAGUUAAGGUACUUCAAGUUCAGUACCUCUAGACCAUGAGCUACUUGAGGAGAGCCAUUGCAUCUUUUCAUCUUUGAAUUCCCAGUGGUCCAUAACAUACAGUACGCACCAAGCAAACCGAAGUUAAAUGGAGUAGGCUAAAACUUUUUAGGACCCCAGGGUGUUCUUGGUUAGAUCUUUGGUUACAUUUGUAGUGCAUUUAUAAAAUGCCUCUUGGAAUUUUUAAAAACAUUUUAAUUUUUAAUUGACAAACAUUCUAUAUAUUAUGUACAACAUGAUGCUUUAAGAUAUGUAUACAUUGUGGAAUGGCUCAAGAGAACUAAUUAACAUCUGCAGUACUUCACAUAACUUGCCUUUUUGUGUGUGGUAAGAACACUUAAAAUCGACUGUCUUAGUGGUUUUCAAAAUUGGAAUUGUUGUCUUUUUACAGAUGGCUAGUGUCAUCUCUUAUGUAUGUGUUUUUACUAUAGUUGAGUCACAUCCUUUAAAGAAUACAGCUUUAAGGAUUCUUUAAAGUUAGCUUUAAUAUAUAACCAAAAUUAAAUUUAAAAAAUCUUUAAAAAAUGUCUUAUAAAAUAUAGUACAUACAGUUUUUUUGGUGUGUAUGCCAUCUGGUACACUAAUUUUUGUGCAUCCUAAAGUUGAGAAUCUUAGGAAAUGGGUUCCCUAAAUAAAGCCAGAAACUGGGAAAAAGUAGUUCCAUUUAAAAAAUUAUCUUCCAGCCUGCAGAGGUGGCAUAUGUAACUUGGUUCGUAUUAUGAGUCUCUUCUCAGAGUGUAAACACAACAUGGCUUUAUUUUUUUUUUGCAUUUAUUGCUUCCAGCUCUGCUGUGAUGAACCUUCACCUCCCACAGAGAAUGCAGUCCCAGCUCAAUGGCAUCUCCUCAGAUUUGUUCUCAUAUAAGUGGGAUCAUAACACCUACUAUUUGUGACUUGCUUAUGUACUUUCCAGUAUAUCUUGGAGACAGUUGUGAAUCAGCACACAUUAAGCUACCUCAUUCUUCUUCAUGGCUUUAUAAUAUUUUGUUGUAUGACUGUGUCAUAAUUUAUGUAGUUGUUGAUGGGCAUGCAGGCUGUUUUCAUUCUUUUAGCUAGUAAAAACACGUAUGUGACUUCUUAGAGGCCCUUGAUUGUUUUGUUUCUACAUUGUGAGAUUAUGAAUUGACAGAAUAAAAGGUUAAAGGUAUUUAGAUGAUUUUCUUCACAUAUCUGGCUUUUAAUGAACUAUUUUAGGUUACCAUGACUUUCAUAUAGUACUUCAGUGUAAUACUAAUAAUCUGUCAAAUGAAGUGACUGGUGAAUCAUUCAGUGUUAGUCUAGAAAUGUCUAACUCAGUCGUGCAGGGUUGAAUUAGAGCAAUUCUUCUGAAACACACAUGUGGCAAAAGUCAGGUUUUGUUUUGUUUUAAAAAAUUUUUCCAAUCCUUUGUAGACCAAUACUUUUGUAAAAUACAGUAAAAACAAAUUAUCAUAAAAAUAAAAUUAAAACUGCAUACAAACUACAAAGCCUAGAUGAUUAACACAGACCAGUGGUUCUUAAAGGAUACUCUGGUAUCCUCAAUCAUUUGUCUGAUGUAAAAGGCAUCAAAAAAUUUGACAACAGCUACUAUUGGGAAUUUUUAUUAUCUUUAUAAGUUUUUGUUUUUCCACCAUUAUAAAUAAAUGAAAUGUUAAAAGUGAACCCAGGGUUUCUUUUAUUAUAUACCUAUAACCCAUUUUGAAAGAAUACCAUGUAUAUCAAGAUUCAAUGCCUUCGAUGUGACAAAUAAGCUUGCUUUUUGCUUGUUAAUUUAUCUAAUCUUAGUUCGAUUGAUGACAGUGCCACUUGAGGGAGAUAACGUAUGUCUAAACUGUUUCCGUUGUCUGUUUUAAUAACACUCCUAGUAGAGAAACCAGUCUCAUAGGAGUAUUUGAUUGUUAUAUAAGAAGAGAUUUUAAGAAAAGUUUAGCAAGCUCAGGAUGUUCUUUUUAAAAUUUUGCUCAAAAUUAAGCAAGUCAUCCUGUAUUUUCAAAAUUCAUCUUCAAUUUUUUAUCAGUAGUUAAUUCUAACAAUUUGUCCUUUAAAGUUAUAGCCAAAUUUAAAUGACCUUUCACUAGAGGUAAUAGGUUUGAAAUUAAUGCAUCUCCUAUGUUUUGAUCUCCUUUAAUGGAAAACAAAAUUCAGAAGUUUCAUGAAAUUAAUAAGGUAAUUGGUACAAUAUAUCAAUUAUCACCUACUUCACUGAUAAUUAUUGAUAAAUUAUAGAACAUGCCAUAAUGUUUUUCCAAGGUUUUAAAAUUUGCUUUUCUCCUUUGAUCUCAUAUGCCAUCCCAAAAGAUGUUGCAGUCCUUUUGUUCUAUUGAAAUAUUAAGAAAAUAUAAAUGCCACAAAUAUCAGCUAAACAAAUCUGGGUGUUCAAUUAACAUGUUUAAGUACUUGGGACCAAACUGCUCUCUUCUGUUGCAGCCAAAAAAGAAAUUCAUUUUGUAGUUCAAACAUUCUCUACAUAAUUUUUCCCCUUGAUAACUGCUGUAAUUCAACUGCAUAAGUUUUUUUAAUUGAUGAUGAUAAUUUGAUGAUAAUGAUAAUGAUGAUUAGAUUACCAUUUCAAUACCUUAAAACUCUGGAUGGGUCCUGCUUAAAGGUACUUGUGGAAAUGGGAGACCCCAGAGGAAGCUCUUCCUAGGCUGCAGUGACCUGGUUAUUGGCCUAGUAUUUAAUGGAGGUACUCUAACACUGCUGAUAGUGCUCUGUUGCAAUCUGUCCAUCCACAGAUUAUUAUGCUGAUUGAGAAAGUAUAAUACAGAAAUGCAGCAUAUAAAGUCAUUCUCAUUUAUGCCAGUUCUUUUGAGCCUCCUAGAUGUAAAGAUUAUACAUGUUUUUCAUUUUGAGUUUAAUUCAAGGUCCUACUGUGUCUAUUUUCCCUUACUAAUUUGCAUAGCAUCCCUGUCUUUCCUGUCUCCUGCUUCUUUUCCUCCAGUUCCCUCUGUUCUUCUUAUUAGGUCUAGAUCUCUCUAUGUGAUGUAAGUUUUCCUCUAGUUAAUCCUCAUUUUCUUGCACUGUCCUGGGUAAUCUUUCUCCUUGGAUCCAAAGAAUUGUAACUGGUUUUUAAUUUAAUGUUAGGCAUAUUAUUUAUAUGUAAUUAUAAUUUAUGUUGAUAAGGUAGUGGAAAGAACACCAGGCUUUUGGGAAAGGAGGCCUGGGCAUUUUCAUUUUGUCUUCAUUCUUUAUUUGAAUUUUAUUUUUCUCCUUUAUUAAAUAAUGUGAUUAGACUAUAUUGAUGGUUCCUAGACCUGCCUGUACUUCAGAAUACCUGAGGAACUUGAUAAAAAUACAGAUGUUCAGUAUUUUACUUUACUCCAGAGCUACUGAGUUUGUUUAGGGACUGGGGGAUUGGGAGUGAGGGGGAUAGUUUAUUAACAGCUUCCACAUAUAAUAGACUUCAUAACAAGGUUUGGGAACGACUGGAUUAGAUUACCUCCAAAGUCUUCCACAUCUAAAAUGAUGUGUUUGAUAUUUAACCUCAUCUUUCUUUCCUUUCAACCAUCCCCAUCUUCCAUCAGAACAUCUUGAAGGCUGAAAGUGUGAACUUAUUUAAGACAGUGGGAGAUUAUUGUGUCCAGAUCUAUAUACUUAUUUUGUCAAGGUUUCUAAACAUUGCUGUAUUUUACAAAAUUAUUGUUUAAAUGACUAAUAAUAAUAUGCACAGUAUGGGAAUUUACCUAGAAAAUAAAAAGCCACUAAAGAAAGACAUACAUUACAGGCAUAAAGCCUAUGAAACCAUAUUUGGAAAACAUGAAAACAAAAAGAAAUACCGUAGCUUGUUGCUCCCAAGAACCAUACAAAAUUUAUGAUAUGGCACAAUAUGACUGAUUCCUGGAAUCAAUUAUAUCUCGCAAUAAUAAAUUGUGAGGUUUAGAAGGAGCCUAUAAAUCAUGUGCAUUUUACAAAGGAAGGAAUGAGGAGACCCCAAGAACUUAAGACCACCAUCCAAUGAGUGAUGGAGCUGGAGUUACAAAUGAUUUUCAAAGAAAUAGUUUCUUCUUUUAAUGGAAACAAGACUACUUCUACAACAAAGUAUUGGAAUAUUCUGCUGAUUUUUAAUUAUGCUUAAAACUUCUCAUUUGUCAUAGUAGAAGAUAGUUAUAUUUUGAAUAUAAUAAAGCAUUUUGAGAAAUCGGUUAAACAUAAUAUUAUUAUGUCUUUUUAGGUCAUUUCUUCAUUUAAAUCAACUUGCAUAUUCAUAAUGUGCUGUCUUAUAGCCUCAGUUUUAGGAAAUGCAAUAAAUAUUAUUAUCUGUCCGUUCCCACAGCAGUUAAUCAUACCUGUGGUCCCCUGUAAAAGAUCCCUUCAAAUCUCUUAUCAGAGAAUGAUGCUGGGCCUUGGGGGUGGAUUUCUGGUCAAUAAAUUUCUCUAGGGAAGAUGGGAUCUGAGAAAAAUUAAUGUCUUGUGCUUGAACUCAUGAACUUGGAACCACACAGAUCAGGGCUUGAGUAUUUUAUUUCUUAUGGGUAGGUUAACCAGAACUACAGAGAAAUGAAACUGAUUUGGGAAAUCAGCCUUCUAGGAGUUAAAGAAAAUAUUUUUAAUGAUCUAGGUUUUCUUCAGAUUCUAGUAUACAAGCAGAAACAGGCCAGUAUGAUUAUUUUCUGUUACUGUUCUAAAGCUGGUGCUUCUGCUAGUUCUGAUACUUGUACCAUAGUUGCUUGGCUAAGUGACAUUUCUGACUUCAGCAAUAGCAUCCUUAGGUAGAGAACAUUGUAGGUUACAUGCUCAACCAACUUUUUGCUUUUGUCUUCUUCCUGAGAGAAUUCUGAUUUUGUCCAAACAUCCAUCUCUCCUCCCCAGAACUAAGUGCUUUAGGAGAAGUUGGCUUCAUCCCCAGUUAUAGCAGACAGGUCCUGAACAGACUAAGCUGGUCUUGACUAUUCCAAAGGGAUCACCAGUGAUUGGUUUAGGAGUGACAUGUGUCUUGUUCUGACAAAUAAGAUGUGAGGGAAGGUCUGCUGGAAUGGAGGUGGAGAGUUCUGGGAAAGGUUUUCUUGGUCUUAUGAAGGGUGCACCAGAAGACACCAUCCCUCUUCUGCCUCUUGACAUUGCCCUGUUGAAUGUUAUAUCUGGAACUAGUCCAUUUUACUACCAUCCUAAGGAUGAAGCCAACACAGAGGAGAGAACCCGUAUCACAGAGGGAAGUAGUGCCCCAAUCAUGCAAACGCUGCAGUUUUUCUGCCUGUGAAUAUCUCAUAUUGUAUAUGAGACAAUACAUAUUAUUUCAACAAAUUAAAACUGUGUUUAGAGCUGAAGUGAUUCUAACUACUUCAUCUCUUCUAUCAUUCUACCACGGUCAGGUUUUUUCCUAAUUUCUCAUAGCACAACCAAGGCAAGACUAUAAAGAAAAGAAUGUACAGUCUGGAGGCUAAUUUUCAACUGCUCAAAAACCCAGACCAACCCUAGGGUCUGUUCCUAGGUUUGGGAGACAUGGAGAUGCAUCAGAGAACACUUCUGAUGGGUAAUGCUUGCUCCAGAGAUGCCCUCCGGUGUGAUCAGGGCUUCAUCAGGCUUGUAUGACAUUUGGACUUUUUCCUUUGUCCAGUUCUGCUUCCUUGCCCCUCCUCUCACUGGUGUUAUUCCCUAAUAAAUAUUUUGAUCCUAAACAAUGUCUUGACAGCUGCUUCUGCAGAAUUCAACCUGUGAUUCCAGAUCAGCUUCAUAUUACCUUCUGUCCUGCCUCUAUGAGGCCAAGAGCAGGUCAUCUCUUUUGAUCAUUCCAGAUUUUUCUGAAUUUUCGUCUCCUAAGCAGAGUGACCAGAGAGAAGCUUUUUUAUUUCCAGAGAUUCAUUUUCAGCUGCAGGAAAAACUUCUUCCCAGGAUGUUUUACAGUGGGAUAUUCAGUUUUUUCAGGGGAAAAUCCAUCCCUGUUCAUAGGGGCAGAGUCUGGCUGCCUAACUCCAAAAAGACAAUUGCAAAGUAGUCUGAUAUUUUUGUAUUGUCUUGUUUAUAUAGUCUUACCUGUGUUCAUCUUAUUACCAUCCUAGCUGAUUUCAGAUGAAUGGCUUAAUCCUCUUAGUUUCUGCUUUCUUAUUCAUUAAAUAAGAAUAAUGUCCCCCUCACAGAAUUGUAGUUAGACUAAGUGACAUAAUAUGUAACAAGUACAGUGCUGAAUAUAGUAUGCUUUCAGUAGAGCUUAGAUACCUAGGCCUUCUCCCUCCCCAUCCUCACUUCUCCUUUUGCCCCCCUAUAAAUUUAGUUUCUUGGUGAAAUUGUGUAAAAAUGAACAUCAGGGUCAAUCUUGAAAAGGGAAGUUGGUCAAAUAUGGUAUUAUUAUUAAGCCUAGGUAUAUGUGUAGAAGGGAGGAAGAACAGUUUCAUUUGUCAGACUGAUGAAGAUUUUAGAGAUACAUUGAAAGUAUAUAUCUUAGAGUGAUUUGUUUGUUUUUAGCAGUUUGUUUUAGCAGUCUCCUACCAGCUGCUUUAGGGAGGUAACUGUCAUACUGUUUAUGGGCUCUGUUUAUGCUGAGCUUUCCCCAAAGUGAAUUUAGAUCCUAAACAUUGAGGUCCAGGGACCUGCUGAUAUGACGUAUUCUGACAGAUGCAGACUAGGCUAUUAUUUUAACCCCAUAUCCUAUGUUUAGAUUAAAAAAAAAAAAAAAAA